CGGUCUGAACUCAGAUCACGUAAGAAAUUAAAAGUCGAACAGACUUAAAUAUUAAGCUACUGCACCUAAUAUUAUAUCUUAAUCCAACAUCGAGGUCGCAAUCUUUUUUAUCAAUAAGAACUUUCCAAAAAAAUUACGCUGUUAUCCCUAAAGUAACUUAAUUUUAUAAUCAAUAAUAAAGGAUCAAUUAUUCAUAAAUUAAUGUAUUAAAAUUUAAAAGUUUAUUAAAUUUUAAUGUCUCCCCAACAAAAUACAAAUAUUUAUAAUAUAAAAAUAAAUCUAAAUAUAUAAAAUAAAUAUUUAUAUAAAGAUUUAUAGGGUCUUCUCGUCUUUUAAAUAAAUUUUAGCUUUUUAACUAAAAAAUAAAAUUCUAUUUUAAAUUUAUAUGAAACAGUUAAUAUCUCGUCCAACCAUUCAUUCCAGCCUCCAAUUAAAAGACUAAUUAUUAUGCUACCUUUGCACAGUUAAUAUACU
rnacentral:rRNA from 1 species